rnacentral:rRNA from 1 species
UUGGCCCUCUAGGGAGGCUGCCGGUAAUAAACCGGAGGAAGGUGGGGAGGACGUCAAAUCAUCAUGCCCCUUAUGACCUGGGCUACACACGUGCUACAAUGGUUGGUACAACGAGUUGCGAGUCGGUGACGGCAAGCUAAUCUCUUAAAGCCAAUCCCAGUUCGGAUUGUAGGCUGCAACUCGCCUACAUGAAGUCGGAAUCGCUAGUAAUCGCGGAUCAGCACGCCGCGGUGAAUACGUUCCCGGGCCUUGUACACACCGCCCGUCACACCACGAGAGUUUGUAACACCCGAAGUCGGUGAGGUAACCUUUUUGGAGCCAGCCGCCUAAGGUGGGAUAGAUGAUUGGGGUGAA